rnacentral:rRNA from 1 species
UUUAUUUCGGUAGAAUUCUUAGUGGCGGACGGGUGAGUAACGCGUGAGCAACCUGCCUAUCAGAGGGGGACAACAGCUGGAAACGGCUGCUAAUACCGCAUAAGACCACGCUAUCGCAUGAUAGAGAGGUCAAAGAUUUAUCGCUGAUAGAUGGGCUCGCGUCCCAUUAGGUAGUUGGUGAGGUAAUGGCCCACCAAGCCGACGAUGGGUAGCCGACCUGAGAGGGUGAUCGGCCACAUUGGAACUGAGACACGGUCCAAACUCC